CGAGGUAGUCCGGCAUUGGAGGAUCGCWCUUCUCUUCCUGUAGGACGUCGCAACCCGUUKGCUGGCGGUCUACUGKACCGAGAAGKCAGCCUCCAGAUGGGCUGGUUUCGGCUCGCCCUCUGGAGACUCUUGGCUCCUGACCGAUCGKCCKAUCGGUAUGGCUGUGAAGGUGUUGRCYGCCGUCAGGCGAGCGUCCAGGCAAGCCACAAGCGGUGGCCUGUUCCGGUAGCACGGGCCUUGUGUCCGGCUGCUGGGCUCGUCCCURCUGUUGGCGGCUUSWUCUUSGAYCGGUAACAACACCGGUUGGYGACGCUUAAGCUUUGGGUGCUUAUCCGACCCGUCUUGAAACACGGACCAAGGAGUCUAACGUKUGCGCGAGUCGUUGSGAUUCGAAACGAUAAUCCCGUGGGCGAUAAUGAGAGUGAAGGUGGUAGAAGGCSUCCGGGCCUCCUACCCUGAGSGAGGAYGGGCGUCSGUACUCUUUAKUCGGCGMUCUGCACUCCCSGGGCGUCUCGAUCUCUYYGCAAGGCGAGGYGAGGCGCACCUAGAGCGUACACGUUGGGACCCGAAAGAUGGUGAACUAUGCCUGGCCAGGACGAUAG
rnacentral:rRNA from 1 species